GACUUCCUACCCACAGUGAGCUAAAAGGACGCUUUUGUCAGAGUGGGGAAAUAAAAGGGCUUUAUGGGAAGGAAGAUAAGAACAGAUGAGUCAGAGGUUUCUGCUUAAUGGUGGUACAGCCAAGCAGACAGGCAAGUGGCCAUACUGCUGCUGCCUCAUGUGGGAUUCGGCAGGCUGGUGGGUUAUCAGUCCUCACGUGGGACCCUCCCACCAUGGCAGCUGAGCGCAUCCAAGCUGGGGGAUCCUGAAGAGACCUUCACCUGGGUGCCAUGUGGAAGAUUGGUCAGCACCAUUUUGACUCCUGUGGAUGGGUGAGUGUUUUGCCCGCCCCCACCCAAUAACAUCAGCACCCAAACUGCACCUGGUCACCUGUCUACAUUCAGAUUUGGAUGAAACCCACACCAUGGAGGCAGCCAGAAGCCCAUGGGAGAUGUCUGGAUGCACAGAGGAAUAGCUCCAUGUGAUGCAAACCUUGACUAAUGGGAACAGGAAAAGGGAGGAAACCAGGAAGAUAAAUUUGCCUCCCUUCUCAUUGCCCCUUGCAACUCUUCCCACUUGAAGCAUGACCACAUUUAAUGAACAACCUGCUGUGUCUCUUGGAAGCUUGCUGCAAAGCAGCAAUCAGCACAAUAACAUUGUAUUGUAUCUUCCUCUGCUUCACUUCUCUUC
rnacentral:lncRNA from 1 species